rnacentral:rRNA from 1 species
GAUGAACGCUGGCGGCGUGCUUAACACAUGCAAGUCGAACGAAGCACUUAAGAUUGAUUCUUCGGAUGACGUCUUUUGUGACUUAGUGGCGGAUGGGUGAGUAACGCGUGGGUAACCUGCCUCACACAGGGGGAUAACAGUUAGAAAUGACUGCUAAUACCGCAUAACCCGAUAGGAUCGCAUGAUCCAGACGGAAAAGAUUUAUCGGUGUGAGAUGGACCCGCGUCUGAUUAGCUAGUUGGUGAGGUAACGGCCCACCAAGGCGACGAUCAGUAGCCGGCCUGAGAGGGUGAACGGCCACAUUGGGACUGAGACACGGCCCAAACUCCUACGGGAGGCAGCAGUGGGGAAUAUUGCACAAUGGGGGAAACCCUGAUGCAGCGACGCCGCGUGAGUGAAGAAGUAUUUCGGUAUGUAAAGCUCUAUCAGCAGGGAAGAAAAUGACGGUACCUGACGAAGAAGCCCCGGCUAACUACGUG